GGCUGAGCCCUCCUUGUCCACAGUGGGAGCAUCCUUCAUUGGCUGCUUUGCCUUCCUCAUCUCACUUCCUCCUGCCAUUAACAUUUAUUUUCCCUCCAAGCAACUACAUGUGUUAGAAUCCUGUUCCAGGAUCUGCUUUACAAGCAGCCCAUAGCAAGACAGCACAUUUCUCAGGGAAUUAUUGCUUAUGUAUUUAGUGUGCACUCUAAAAAAGGAUUUCAGAAGAAUUCCAAAAAAGUUAAACAAAGAAGAGUUCAUGUUGUCAAGAAGCUCUCAGACUAGGGACUCUUUUUACUAGGAAAGGAAAGAAAGGGAAUACUUGAAUGCUUAAUAAGUACUCAGCUUAUUAGACUGACCCAUAGGAAAUGACUGAUGUUAUGCUUUGGAUCUAGGAUGUCCCUGAAAGUUCAUGCCUUACAGGUAUGGACUUUGGACUGUAUUGGACUGUGACUGAACUGUGAACGUUCUUACCUCAUUUGCUAUUAGGAUGUAGUGGAAACAUUAGUAUGUGGGCCCUGAUGGAGGAAACAGUUCCCCGGAUGCAGAACAUUGAAGGGUAUAUUCUUUUUCCUCUCUCUUCUUUCUCCUCUUCCUCCCUUUCUGGCCACCAUGAGGUAGAUAUCUCUUCCUCACCAUCUAUGCCGUGACGCUCUCCCUCAUCACAGGCCAAAAAACAGUGGAGCCAAGUGACCUGGGACUGAAAGCCUAAGUGAACAAACCCAGGCCUCUAUUCUGCAUUGACCCCUGAACACAGUCACCUCCAAGUUACACGUGAGCUCCACAGAGGAGGAGAUUGUGGCUGUCACUUUCCAGUCAUCGCGGCAGCUCCUGCUCUCAAUCGCCCCAGCCAUUCUAUCAUCUGCCAUCCCUGGCGGCUCUAGCCUUCCUCAAAGUGAUCUCCACUGUUGUGGUGAUGCACAGUACACAGACACCAACUCAGAACAGGAUUCAGGCUUAGAACAACUCUAAGAAUCCAUUGGCCAAACAUCUUCAUGAGUCCCUGCACCCCACCUGCCAAUCCGAGUUACAAAGGGCAAAAUUUCAUCUACCAGGUCUACUUUCCAACAUCAAAAUUCUUCUAUUAAGUGUGAAGUGGUACAACUGCUACGGAGAAGACUGUGAUGAGAAAGUGAGCUGCAAGUGGCAAGGAGAUGGUCACAUUCCUAGCUUACGGUUUGUACAGAACAUAAACUCUAGCCAGUCUUCUAGUUCCAUUUACAGAGAUCUGUUCUGCUGGGGCACUUUCAUGUCUACUGAUGAAACUGAUGAAAGGCACUGUUAGAGGAGCUGGUGGCUGCCAGGCCUGAUUUCUGAAUUGAUUGGUCACCAGUUUUGGAGAGAGAUGGCCCAAAGGAUUCAAGUAUUUAAGAGAAUAUUUGGUGUAGGAGUUUUCUCUCUGCAAGAUGGCUGAAGUGGAGAGUGUGAAGUUCUUUUACCAGCAACGAACAGUAUUUCUGGUUUGUGCAAGAGGCUUCUAGGCAUUAUCUCAUUUAAUUCUUGGAACAACUGUAGGUAUAAGUUUUACUAACUAAUCUCUUUUCACAGAUGAGGAUACUAAGGUUCAAAGAAACAUGGUCAAAAUCUGCCCAGGCCAGAAUAUGAGUUCGACUCUAAAGUUAGGAGGUUGAGACUUUCCACUAAGCCACAGUGUCCCCAGGUUGAAACUGAGGCUGUUAUCAUGAAAUCCUAGACUUCUGACUUUUGCAGUGGAUCCUUCUUUCCAAAAGAACCUUUAAAAUCAGAUGUGGUGAGCUCAUACCUGUAAUUCUGAGUGUACCAGGAAGGCUGAGGCAAAAGGAGCACAGGUUUGAGAUCUCACAGGAUCACACUGUGAAAUAUUGUCUCAAAAAAUUUUUUUAACAGAGGUUUUUAAAAUAUUAUUGGUGGGGACCAGCAACCAGCAAAAGAAGAAACCAACACUUGGUUACUGACCCUUUUUUCUCAAUUUUCUUUUUUCUUUGUUUUCUCUCUUGUCUUUUUUAUUUCUUUCUUCCAUUUUCCUUUUUUCUCUCUUUUCUAAAUAUCUGGGGAGAACCCCGGCCACAGAAAACAAAUCCCAUCCCUCAGACUCAGAGACCAAUUCAGAUAAUCCCUCGAAUACUCCUUCAUUCUUUCUUUUCUUCCACCUUCUCUAGUUUCCCAAACCCUGUGUGUCCACCAUUUGUCCUCCAGGCUUGCUUCUACUUCCUUCCCAGGUAUAUUUGUUGUAUAUACCAUCUUCCAUAAACUUCCCCACCGCAAGGUAAACCCACUCUACCAAGGGGAGACACUGCAUGUAAACUCCUAAUUUAGGAUUGGUGCUGUUAUAUGACUGUAGACUUUGCUCCUAUGGGCUAACAUAUAAAAUCAAGAGUUAGCACAGUUUGUCAGUUUCUAAACUGUGCUUGAUGCUAUGAUUAUUGCCAAUUUUACUACUUUAGCUAGGAUUUCAUAUAUGUUAUAAUCAGUCUUUCUCCCUUCUGUAACAAUACUGGGAAGCUGUUGUGUAAUAACUUCACCACAACCCCACAUCAAAGGACUGGGAACUGAGCCAAAAAGAUACCAAUGUCCUACUUUUAAUUAAUUGGGAAGGUAGGACCUUGGGCCAGACAAAAAUCAAGAAUUUACACACACAAGAUAUCCCUGAAGAACAGACUUCUCCUAGAGAGGCCUUGAUGCUAGUGAGUUAGCUACCUACUACAAAAAUGUACAAGGAUCAGGUUUAGAAAACCAAAUAAAAAGUUUUUUGAAAUUGAAAAUGACAAGACAAAAAAGCAAAAUGCAAUCAAUCUCAGACCUCUAGCUCAACCAGAACAAGUACAGGAGAUAUCAAUAUAGAAGAAACUAGAAGCACACAUCUGAAAUUUCUGAAAUGAUAGCAACUGAAGUAAAGAAACAAAUCCAUGAGGACAUAAAGGAAAUUAGGUCAGAAAUAAUCUCUCAGGUAAGAAGAGAAUCAACAACAUUUAUGAAGGACUUGCUCAACAAAUCUAGAUUAAAUAUAGAUAAAAAAUAGAUGAUGAUAGGAAGUACAUAGAAGCUGAAUAAUCAGUAUAAGAAAGAAAAAGAAUGCAUGAAAUGGAUUCAAACAAAUAUCCAGGAAAUAAAAAAUUGCAUUAAAAAUUAACAAAACUCAUUCAACAAAACUGAAGACAGACUUUCAGACCUUGAAGACAGGAUCAUGGCUGUUGAUGAUGAAAGGAAAGAUUGCUUGAAGAUGACAAAAGAUCAGGGAAUAAUAAUCCAAUAGAUAUAAGAUGACACAAAGAAAAUGAUAUAAGAAUAAUUUAUGUCAAUGAAAAAGCAAGAGUCAACAUAAAUGAUAUAAAAAACUAUUUGCAGAAGCAAUAACAGAAAAUUUCCCAAGCAUGGGAAAAUAAACUGAUAGACAUGCAUAACUCCACUUACCCAUAACCAAAAUAAAUCUGCACCCAAACAUAAAAUAAUCAAAGUCUCAGACAUUCAAUACAACAUUGAAAACUGUUAGAGAAAAGAAACUGAUCACUUAAAAAGGAAAGUCUAUCAGAAUCAUGGCAGACUUCUCAACACAAACCCUCAAAUAAAGAAGAGCUUGAAUUGAAAUAUUUCAAGUCCUGAAAGGAAACAGCUUCCAAUGCAGAUUGAUGUACCCUGUAACACUAUCUUUCAAGAUUAAUGGAUAAAUAAGAUACUUUAAUGACAAAGAAUAACUGAAAGAAUUCAUGACCAAUGCCACAAAGGGUAUAGAAAGAUAUUCUAGACAGAAAUAGAGAUGAGCACCAUUUCAAGAACAACAAUAGAAAGAAACCUUUAAGCAGGGCAAGCAGUUAAUCAGAUAGGAAAUAUAGGAAACUCACAGUAGGAAAAUAACAUGACAAAGAUAAGCAACUAUGGUAUGAGUUAUAACCAUCAAUGUAAAUGCCCUUAAUUCAUCAAUCAAAAGAAGCAGACUAACUGAAUGGAUCAAGAAACUAGAUCCCACAAUAUGAAAUAUACAAGAAACACGUUUAACUCUAAAUGAACCUCAUAGACUAAAAGUUAAAUGAUGGAAAACAAUACCAUAUGUGACAGGAACCAGGAAAAAGCAAGGUAGCUAUUCUGUUUGCAGACAAUAUAAACUUCAAACCAAGAAUGACCAAAAGAGAUAAAGAAGGUCACUACAUACUUGUGCUGAGGGGAUGACGACAAGAAGAGAUAACAAUCAUAAAUAUAUAUGCAUGAAAUAUGGGAGCACUUAACUCUGAAAAGCAAAUAUUAACAGACAUGAAAAACCAAAUAAGCAAUAACAUAAUUGUAAUGGGGAAUCUUAAUAUCCCAUGGUCACAAAGAGAUAGAUGAACUAGACUAAAAGUCAUCAAAGAAGUAACAGAACUGAACCAAACAGAACUGUGAACAAAUGGACUUAGUAGAUGUUUAUAGGAUGUUCUAUCCAACAACAUUAGAUCACAAAUUCUUUUCAGUUGCACACAUGACAUUUUCUAAAAUAGACUAUAUACUAGGCCAUAAAACGUGCUUAAAUAAUGCAAAGGAAUUGAAAUUAUCUCAUGCGUAUUAUCUGACCAUCAUGCAAUGAAACUGAAAAUUAAUGACAGAAGACACCACAAAAAUCUCUUUAAAUGCAUGGAAAUUAAGUAACACUUUCCUGAACAACCAGUGCAUCACAUGUGAAAUUAUAGAAGAAACUAAACAUUAUCUACAGUCAAAUGAAAAUGAAACUAUAACCCACUAGAACCUGUGACACAAUGAAAGCAGUCCUAAGAGGGAAAUUGAUGGCACUGAAUUCUCACAUCAGGAAAACAGAACAAGUACAAAUAAACAAUCUAAUGAUACACCUCAAACUUCUGGAAAAAGAAGAGAAGGUCAAUCCCAAAGUUGAUACAGGGGAGAAAAUUAUAAAGAUUAGAGUUGAAAAUAACACAUUUGAGACUAAGAAAACCAUAUAAAGAGUUAGUGAAUCAAAGAGCUGGUUCUUUGAAAGAAUCAACACAGUCGGUAAACCCCUAGCCAACAUUAUCAAAAAACAAAAAACAAAAAACAAAAAACAAAAAAAAAGGAAAGAAACAACUCAAAUUCAUGAAAUAAGGAAUAAAAAAGGUGAAGUCAUUAGCAAUAUUGCGGAAAUUCAGAAGAUCAAAAAUCUUUACUUGCAUAGGAUGGAAAACAGAAGACACGGACAUAAAUUCCUGCAAAUUUAUGAAUUACCAAAAGAGAAUCAAGAAAACAUAAAAUUUUUGAAUAACUUAAUAAUAGUUAAUGAAAUUGAAAAUGUAAUUAAAAACUUGCUAACAAAAUAAGCUCAGAUCCUGAUAAAUUCCCUGCUGAAUUCUACAAGAAAUUUAGAGAACAGUUAAUGCCAGCGCUCCUCAGCCUCUUCAAUGAAGCUGAAAGAGAAGCAAGUGUCCCUAACUCAUUCCUGGAGUUAUUCCUGGAGACAAAUAGUGUCCUGAUACCAAAACCAGAAAAAGAGCCAAAUGAAAAAGAGAACUAUAGGCCAACCUCCCUAGUGAACAUAGAUGUAAAAGUCCUCAAUAAAAUACUAGCAAAUAGUUUGUAUUAAAUCAUCAAGAAGAUUAUGCAUCAUGACCAAGUGGGGUUCAUUCCAGGAAUGCAGGGAUGGUUCAACAUACACAAGUCUACAAAUGUAAGACACCAUAUCAACAGAGUCAAUGACAAAAAUCACAUGAUGAUCCCAAUAGAUGCAGAAAAGGCUUUUGAUAAAGUCCAAUACUCAUUCAUGAUAAAAAAAAAAAAACCUACAGAAAAUUGGAAGAAGUGGACUUUACCUCAAUUUGACAAAAGCCAUCUAUGACAAGUCAACUGUCAAUAUGAUACUCAAUGAACGAAUACUGCAAGCUUUCAAUCUGAAAGUAAGAACAAGACAAGGAUGUCGACCGUCACCACUCCUAUUUAAUAUAGUUCUAGAAACAUUAACCAGAGCAAUUAGACAAGAGACAGAAAUAAAAAGAUUAGGAUAGGAAAGUAAGAAGUUAAGUUAUCAUUAUUUUCCAGUGACAUGAUAUGCUACGUAGAAGACCCUAAAACUCUACCAGAAGUCUUCUGGAAUUAAUAACAAAAUUCAGUGGCAUCGUGGAAUAGAAAGUCAACAUUCAAAAAUCAAUAGCAUUCCUGUACACAAACAGCAGAUUCACUGAGAGAGAAAUUAGAGAAACUACACCCUUCACAGUAACAUCCAAAAAAAUGAAGUACUUAGGAAUCAAUCAAAGGAAGUAAAAAAUUUAUACACUUAAGAUUACAGUACUCUGAAAAAAGAGAUCAAAUAGAAUCAGAGAGGGUAUCAGAAAAUGGAAAGGUAUCCCUUGCUCAUGGAUAGGAAGAACCAACACUGUGAAAAUGGCCAUAUUCUCAAAACUGUUGUACAAGAUUUAAUGCAAUUCCAAUCAAAAUUCCAUUAGCAUACCUCAUAGCUCUAGAGAAAACAUUCUUAAAAUUCAUUUGGAAACAGAAGAGACUAGGGUAGCAAAGACAAUCUUGGGCAACAAAGACAAGACAGGAGGCAUUACAAUCUCUGGUUUGAAAUUAUACUACACAGCUACUGUGAUAAAAUCAGCAGGGUACUGGGAAAAAAAAACACCAGACCUGAAGAUCAGUGAAACAGAUGAGAAAGUGCAGAAAUGACUACAAACAAACUCAGCCACUUUAUCUUUGACAAAGGAGCCAACAUUUUCACCAGAAGAAAGAUAACCUCUUUAAUAAGUUGUGCUGGAAAAACUAGCUUUCCACGGAGACUAAAAUUACAUCCAUACCUACCACAUGCACUAAAGUCAAAAUGGAUAUAAAUAUUAAAACAGAAACACUAAAUCCAUUAGAAUUGAAAAUAGAAAUCUCAAAGACAAUCUCCUAGGCAGAGACUUCAUGAAUAAAAACCAAAAUGCAUGGGAAAUAUUUCAAAGGAUCAACAAAUAGGAUCUCAUUUUAUUAAAAAGCUUUUGCACAUGAAAAAAAAUUACCAUUAGAGUGAAAAGAAGACCCACAAAAUGUGAAAAAAUUUUAGCCAUCUGUCCCCUAGAUACAGGACUUUUAUCUAGAACAUAUAAAGAACUGAAAAAAUAUCAGGCCCACAAAAUUCAAAACCCCAAUUCAAAAGUGGGCAUCUGUGAUGAAUAUACUCUUCUCAGGUGAAGAAAUACCAAGGGCAAACAAAUACAUGAAAAAAUGUUCAACAUCAUUGAUCGAUAGGAAAAUAUAAAUUAAAAUGACACUGAGAUUUCUUUUUUUUUACAGCAUUAUUGAAUAGAUUUUUUUAUUUUAAAAAGCAAAAAAGAAAUGACAGAAAUUUUUUAAAAAGUAGAAAAUUAACACUAGUUAACAUAUUGAGUAUUGUUAUCUUAGAAGUAGUUGUUCAAGUUACAAGAUCUAGUACAAAAAUAAUCAAUUACAGCACAAACUAUUCUUUUUGAUGAGCUAACACAGAAUUAGUAGUGUAGUUAUCUAUCUGCACACAUAUACAUACAUACAGUUGCACGUGUGUACCUACUCAUAUAAUCUUUUACUUUCUUCCUUUUCUCCUUUCCCCAUCCCAGUUGUUCUUUCCUUUCUAUCACUUUCUUUCCCUUUCAUUAUUACAAUGUAUAUUGUACAUUUUGGAUCUUAUUACUCUUUUUAUUUUUUAUUAUGGCAAGUGUGAGGUUGUGAGUUUGAUCCCUGGAACCAAAAAAGAAAAAAAAAAAUCAAAACCAAAACCAAAAAAACAAAAAAACCUCAAGCUCAACACUGAAAUUUCAUUUCACCCUAGAAGGAGUGGCUAUCAUCAAGAAAUCAGUCAACAACAAAUGAUGACAGAGCUGUGCGGAGAAAGGAACCCUUCUCCACUGUUUGGAGAGUGCAGACUGGUACAACCUCUAUGAAAAUCAGUGUGGAGAUUCCUCAAAAACUUAGGAUUGGAGGUCUCAUUCAAUCCAGAUAUCCCCUUUCUGGGUAUUUUCCUGGAAGAAUCAAAAACAUGCCACAGAAGUAUAUGUGUACCCUUGUUCAUAGUAGUAUAAUUUGUAAUAGCUAAACAGUGGAAACAACCCAAAAUGUCCAUCAACUGAAUGGAUAAGAAGACAUUGUCUUUUUAUACAAUGGAGUACUACUCACCUAAAAAGAAGGAUAAACUGAAGAUUUUUUUAUAGGUAAAUGGCUGCAACUGGAGACCAUUCUUACAAGGGAAAUAAAUUAGACUCACUUGUGUCAACAUUGUAUCGUCUCCAUAAUGUAAGAAACUGUAAGAGUAAAAAAGAUCCAAAACCUACAAUAGAUAUUGUGAAAGGGGGAAAAAACUGCUCAAAGAACAAAUUGGAAUGGGAGAAAGGAGAAAGGAAGAGAAUAUAUAUAUAUAUAUGCUAAGAUAAUUAUAUUGCUAGUUUAUUUCAGUUCACUGAAAAGAAUGGUUCAUGCUUAUAUUAUUUUUGCAUGCCUCCAUCUUGUAAUCUGUGC